ACUACUGGUAGCACGAAGGUAAGGUCUAUUUCCCCUAAUUUUAUUCAACGUUUUCAGCUGCAGUGGAGUGUCACUCAAACCAAAGCAACGCCGCAACUCGUACAACCAGAGAGAGACGUUAAAUUACGCGGCCGAGCUUGUUGUUGACCAGCUAGCACGGCUAGCACGUACUGUCAAGCAAAAAGUAUCACGGAUUUGCAACCCUGUCACUGUCAUCAGGGUCAUUUUAACCGUCUUCCGAUACUGGAACGCUCGUUUGUUGGAAAGGAGUAAGACAAAUAAAAACAAUUAUCCUUGACCUUGGCUACACAUGGAAAGUGUAUGCUCUUUAUUUGAUUUUUUUAUUACAUUUAAUGACCCGCAUGGAGCCCCUUUUUAAUACUUCCCUGACCUUAUAAGACCAUUCAAGAGCCUCUCGUGGACAGUAAUAUUUUAUCAGCUGGAAUGCAAUCUCCCUCCGCGGGAACGCCGAGCGCGAGGAGCACCAAACACGCAAAUACAUUCCCCCCCCCGCCAAGAAUUCCAUCGGGGCCGGAGGACGAUAGCGCCGGAGGACGCGUGCGCGGGCGCCUUUAACGGCGGCCCGGUUUCGGGGGUCGGCGCUAACGACGGCUUCCUCGCAGUCGCCCACCCGUCGAGCGUCUGUCAGUCCGCCGCGCAUCACGUCCUGAUUGAUGCUCAGCCCUCGGGCCGCCGACGUGUCGGGAUAUUUGUGCUAAUGACCUGCUGGAAGGCCUGCGUGAUGGAACGUCUGCUUAAAGUUACAACGGAGCUCGCGCCGGCAGAAGCAGCAAAACGAGGCACCCGUCCAAUCGCAUCGUGGAGAUACGUUCCAGACCCGCACGCGAUAGGUGAAGACCUGCGAUGUAGCGUGGCCAAAAUGUGAAAAAUUGAAAAGUUUUACAGAUUGAAGCUUCAAGCUGCUGCUGUCCUCACCCGCAGUAGACGUUUAUUGUAAAACUGAUCAAUUCCUAAUGAAACAUUUGACUUUGCUACUCUGGGAAGAUAACAAAUAAAAGAAUCAAAGAUGAUGAUAAUUCCCAAAACAGCUGCGCGGGGUGCCGGAUUUUUUGAAGCCGCGGUGGAGGUCUGCGCUGCGCCGCCUUAUUACUGUUCAUGACUCAAACGUGACAUUAUUUAUCUCGUAUUCCGCGUGGGCGAUAUUCGUCCUUCCUGGAGUCCAAACGAGAGCAGGAAAAUUGGCAUUUUUCCCGCGGUUGUUUGUCAUCGUGGAUACUGCAAUAUUCAUGCUUUCGCUGACUGAGAUGCGACAAAACCAUAACCAGGAUGCAAGAGAGAACUAGAACUGGAUGCAUUUUUUCUUUUUGUGUUUUUUUUUCCCUGUGAUGCUGCUGUUCAUUUUUUUUUGACAGAUAACUGUGGGCUUCGGCGGGGACGAGCGAUGAUAGAUGGCAAAUAGCGAGUCGGCCUCGCGCAGGGCUGCUGAAGCGUUCUGGCGGUUUGAGCCGCUGCGAGGUGGACGAGGUCCAGGUUUUAGUGGACCCGCGGGAGAUGAAGUCUCCUCGUCUUAAUCCUCAGGUGCAUCUGUGACGCAUGGAGAUAAUCUUCCUCAACCGACCCCCUUCUCGCCUCUCCAAACAAGUCCCGAUGGCGGCUUUCCCAUCACAAGCUUGUUCCAGAGAUAACCGACCCGCGGGCCACUUGGAGUCCGGUUGCUUUCCGGUUCUGGUCACGGUCUUCCUGUAGCGUUCUUCGCGUAAUGUUCUCGCUCUUGUUUUCCUCGUUCUUGGCAUAUUCUUGUUCUCCUUUGGGCAUCAAAAUAUAAUCCUUUCCGAAGAUGAACCAAAUCAAUAAAGGAAAUUAUUCAUUUUCCUUGAAAUUAAUAAAGUACAAUUACAGUGACCCCCCCGCAACAGGUGAAAACUUGCAAUUAUGGAGCGAGACGUACAAACCCCUUUAAGUUUUCCCCCUCCCACAUGCUCUCAACACAUACGGAAAGACACUUUUUUUUAAACCGCUGGGCCUCGAUGUGCAGCAAGCGCGACCAAACGUCAGGCAGCUCGACGGCGUAGAUGCUAACUACCUUUGACGGGCGCUGCUCCGCUAGCCGCGCUUGAGUCCAGGCGCUGCGGGUCCGCUGUCGUCACGGACACGUUGCGACGUGACUAAUCCCGUCAGGAGUCAAGAGACGAGACCAGAUUUCGACAAUCGACGCCCGAGAGUUUUGUCUUGUUGUAUGUCUACGUGUGUUGCCGCACUCUGUUGCCUAAAUGGCCGACGAUGGUGCAAGAUUCACACUCUUUUCAGUCACUGACCUUUGCACUGUGUGUUAGCAUUAAACUAGCAGACUUUCUUAAGGGGGAGUUAUGUGGUGUUUAAACAAGUUUAAUUCUGUUUGAGGUUUAGUUUGACAUUAAACAGUGUGAAGCUCCUUUGUUUAUUUGUUUUUUUUUUU